rnacentral:lncRNA from 1 species
AGGGAAGAAGUGGCUUCAUCCCACCAUGCCAGUGCUCAGUCUAACAGGAAAAGGUUGGGGGCUGGAUGGGGGAAUGGGGACAGAGAGACGAGCAACAGGGGCAACCUGAACCGGGUGCUGAGUCCUGAGCCAGAAAACCUAGGACUACGUCCAGGCGGGGCUCCAGUGUCUCAGGUGUUGGUAACACAGCCAGGCCAGGGUCAUCUCCCAGCAACUUCUAUUCCACCUCCAAAGCCUUCAGCUGUAAAGAACCAAAAGCACACUCCACACAUCUACCCAGAGGGCAUGGUAGCAAAGAGCCGGGAAGAGCACAGAGAGACCCAAGAGAAGGAACACAGAGACCCGGCAAGGAGCACAGAGAGCCGGGAGAAAGAGCACAGAGAGCCAGCGAGAGAGCAGGGGAGACCCGGAGGGAGUCGCAGACAGCAGAGAGACCCCGGGAUUGCUUGGGGGGUGGAGUGGGUUGAAAGUGGGAGGCCGCGACACGGGGAGACAGAGAUACAGAGGCUUUGAAGGGCGUAGAGAGACGGAAACACGGAGGGAAAAGGAGAAAUAAGCCGAGACAGGAUCGUGGGCACAGCGAUGAGGACCGGGGCACACCAACACGGGACGGGACGCCGGGCGGCGACUGAGUGAACUUUCCGGAGCGGGUCCGAGUGGACACGUCCUCACGGGACAGGUCGUCCCAGGGCCUUUGGGUCACUGCACCCGGGGAGGGGCGGGUACAGCCCGGCCCAGCUCCUCCCCAGCCUGCGCCGGCGACUUGGGUG